UACGUAGGUGACCAGCGUUGUCCGGAUUUACUGGGCGUAAAGAGCGCGCAGGCGGUCGUUCAAGUCGAGUGUGAAAGCCCCCGGCUCAACUGGGGAGGGUCACUCGAUACUGAUCGACUUGAAGGCAGGAGAGGGAAGCGGAAUUCCCGGUGUAGUGGUGAAAUGCGUAGAUAUCGGGAGGAACACCAGUGGCGAAGGCGGCUCUCUGGACCAGCACUGACACUGAGGCACGAAAGCGUGGGGAGCAAACAGGA
rnacentral:rRNA from 1 species